rnacentral:rRNA from 1 species
UACGUAGGUGGCUAGCGUUGUCCGGAUUUACUGGGCGUAAAGAGCGCGCAGGCGGUCGUUCAAGUCGAGUGUGAAAGCCCCCGGCUCAACUGGGGAGGGUCACUCGAUACUGAUCGACUCGAAGGCAGGAGAGGGAAGCGGAAUUCCCGGUGUAGUGGUGAAAUGCGUAGAUAUCGGGAGGAACACCAGUGGCGAAGGCGGCUUCUGGCCUG